GGGGAUUUAGCUCAGUGGUAGAGCGCUUGCCUAGCAAGCGUGAGGCCCUGGGUUCGGUCCCCAGCUCCG
rfam:Rattus norvegicus chromosome 4, whole genome shotgun sequence.